CACUCCUGCGGGAGGCAGCAGUGGGGAAUAUUGGACAAUGGGCGCAAGCCUGAUCCAGCCAUGCCGCGUGAGUGAUGAAGGCCCUAGGGUUGUAAAGCUCUUUCACCGGUGAAGAUAAUGACGGUAACCGGAGAAGAAGCCCCGGCUAACUUCGUGCCAGCAGCCGCGGUAAUACGAAGGGGGCUAGCGUUGUUCGGAUUUACUGGGCGUAAAGCGCACGUAGGCGGACGAUUAAGUCAGGGGUGAAAUCCCGGGGCUCAACCCCGGAACUGCCUUUGAUACUGGUAGUCUUGAGUUCGAGAGAUGUGAGUGGAAUUCCGAGUGUAGAGGUGAAAUUCGUAGAUAUUCGGAGGAACACCAGUGGCGAAGGCGGCUCACUGGCUCGAUACUGACGCUGAGGUGCGAAAGCGUGGGGAGCAAACAGGAUUAGAAACCCCUGUAGUCCCAUGAU
rnacentral:rRNA from 1 species